rnacentral:misc_RNA from 1 species
ACCCACGACUACGACGUGAAAAUGCGUAACGUCGUCAAGUUCCUGGAGAACGGGGACAAGGUGAAGGUCACGCUUCGAUUCCGCGGCCGCGAGAUGGCGCACCAGAAUCUGGGGCGCGAAUUGCUGGAGCGGGUGGCCGAAGACACCAAGGAUAUCGGCAAGGUCGAGAACUUCCCCAAGAUGGAAGGCCGACAGAUGGUGAUGAUGAUCGGCCCCUCGCAGCGCUGAUCCCCAUCUUCCAUCCGCGAAAUAGCCCCGGCCCUGCGCCGGGGC